GACGAACGCUGGCGGCGUGCUUAACACAUGCAAGUCGAACGGAAAGGCCCUGUAUUUGUGGGGUGCGCGAGUGGCGAACGCGGGAGUAUCACGUGAGUAACCUGUCCUUGACUUUGGGAUAACUUCAGGAAACUGGGGCUAAUACAGGAUAUGAGCACCUGCUGCACGGUGGGGGAGGGAAAGAUUCGGAGGUUGGGGAUGUACUGGCGGUUCAUCAGCUUGUUGGCGGGGUAGUGGCGUACCAAGGCACUGAGGGGUAGCCGGCCUGGGAGGGUGACCGGCCCCAUUGGGCCUGGGAUACGGGCCGGAGUCCUACGGGAGGCAGCGGUGGGGAACUUUCCGCAAUGGGCGGAGGCAUGAUACAGCAACGCCGCGUGGGGGAUGACGGCCUUCGGGUUGUAACCCGGUUUCGCCUGUAACGAAGCGUGAGUGACGGUAAUGGGUCAAGAAGCACCGGCUAACUACGUG
rnacentral:rRNA from 1 species